rnacentral:rRNA from 1 species
GAAACGGAGCUAAUACCGGAUAAUAUUUUGAACCGCAUGGUUCAAAAGUGAAAGACGGUCUUGCUGUCACUUAUAGAUGGAUCCGCGCUGCAUUAGCUAGUUGGUAAGGUAACGGCUUACCAAGGCAACGAUGCAUAGCCGACCUGAGAGGGUGAUCGGCCACACUGGAACUGAGACACGGUCCAG